UACGUAGGUGGCAAGCGUUAUCCGGAAUUAUUGGGCGUAAAGAGCGCGCAGGUGGUUAAUUAAGUCUGAUGUGAAAGCCCACGGCUUAACCGUGGAGGGUCAUUGGAAACUGGUUGACUUGAGUGCAGAAGAGGGAAGUGGAAUUCCAUGUGUAGCGGUGAAAUGCGUAGAGAUAUGGAGGAACACCAGUGGCGAAGGCGGCUUCCUGGUCUGCAACUGACACUGAGGCACGAAAGCGUGGGGAGCAAACAGG
rnacentral:rRNA from 1 species